UACGUAGGGGGCAAGCGUUGUCCGGAAUCAUUGGGCGUAAAGCGCGUGUAGGCGGCUCGGUAAGUCCGCUCUGAAAGUCCAAGGCUCAACCUUGGGAUGCGGGUGGAUACUGCCGGGCUCGAGUCCGGAAGAGGCGAGUGGAAUUCCUGGUGUAGCGGUGAAAUGCGCAGAUAUCAGGAGGAACACCGAUGGCGAAGGCAGAUCUCUGGGCCGUAACUGACGCUGAGGAGCGAAAGCGUGGGGAGCGAACAGG
rnacentral:rRNA from 1 species